rnacentral:rRNA from 1 species
ACGAACGCUGGCGGCGUGCCUAACACAUGCAAGUCGCACGAGAAAUCCUGGGCAACCGGGAAAGUAAAGUGGCGCACGGGUGAGUAACGCGUGGGUAACCUGCCCUUGAGUUGGGGAUAACCCCGCGAAGGCGGGGCUAAUACCGAAUAAUAUGUCAGUCUCUAUGGGGAUUGAAAUCAAAGGUAGCCUCUGCAUGCAAGCUAUUGCUCAAGGAUGGGCCCGCGUACCAUUAGCUUGUUGGUAGGGUAAUGGCCUACCAAGGCAACGAUGGUUAGCUG